rnacentral:lncRNA from 1 species
GAAAAAUAAUUUCGUGUUGGGCUAAAAUAUCAGCAGGCCCAUUUCGGUUCGGACAUUUUACGUAGCCCACAUCGUGCAGGUGUGCCCCAACCCCGUCGGGUUUGGACCUGCACCCUUUGCGCGCGAGGCAAGAUUCCAAGCUUAGUCAUUCAAUCACUCAUUAAGAGGAUUCCUAUAUAUAAACACAUCUCACACUUGGUAUUUAACCAAUGUGGGAUCUAAG